GACGAACGCUGGCGGCGUGCUUAACACAUGCAAGUCGAACGGUGAAGCGCCUUCCUUUUUGGUGGGUGUGGAUGAGUGGCGAACGGGUGAGUAACACGUGAGUAACCUGCCCCCUUCUUCUGGAUAACCGCAUGAAAGUGUGGCUAAUACGGGAUAUUCUGGGUCUGUCGCAUGAUGGGUCUGGGAAAGAUAUUGUUUCGGUGGGGGAUGGGCUCGCGGCCUAUCAGCUUGUUGGUGGGGUGAUGGCCUACCAAGGCGGUGACGGGUAGCCGGCCUGGGGGGGUGGACGGUCACCCGGGGACUGAGACACGGCCCGGCCCCCAACGGGAGCAGCCGGUGGGGAUAUUGCCACAAUGGGGGAAGGCCUGAUGCGGCGCGGCCCGGUGGGGAAUGGGGCCCUUCGGGUUGGAACCCUCUUUCGCCAGUAAAGCAGGCCGCCUCGUUUGUGGGUGGGUUGACGGUAGCUGGAUAAGAAGCGCCGGCUAACUACGUG
rnacentral:rRNA from 1 species